UCCACGCCGUUUGUCUCUCUCAUGGUGAUUUCCACGACACUCUUCAUCAUCUCCAACUUCUCUGCGAUUAAGCUGUCGCCAUCCCUGUGUUUGGGCUUUUACUUGGGGCGUUAUUUGAGAGUUGGUCUUCAAUGUCUUGUCUCCUGUCUCUCGUACCUUUCGAACAAAUCCUAAAACCUCUCGCCAUCCCUCUGCUUCAUUCUAGGGUUUUCUGUUACUCUUUGAUUCAAAGAUGGGAAGGGCGAAGAAGCCUUAGAAGUUUGCUGUCAUGAAGAAAACAAUAAGCCACAAAGCGGAUUGAAGCAUUACAAGGAGGAGUUCUGAAUCCGAACAAGAAAGGCCUCACUGAACUUCCCAGAAACGUACCAAAUGUUCCAUCAGGGAUGUUCUUUUCUCACAACACUAACAUGGUUCCUCCUUACCGAGUUCUGGUGGAUACUAAUUUCAUCAACUUCUCUAUCCAGAACAAGGUACAAACCAAUCCACAGAGCUGUAAUCGAUCUUUGUAGUGUUAUUGUCUUCGUGGAACUUAUUCUAACUACUGUCCUUUGUUUUGCCUUUUUGUUGUAUACAAUAGAUUGAUAUUGAGAAUGGAAUGAUGUUCUGUUUGAACACUUCUCAGAGCUACAGCAAGUUGUUUUCUUAAUAAGCUGUUUUUUCUUUUACUUCCUCCUCUUGCUGCUUCGACACCAUCAGCCAUUAUUGUCAGAGACAUAUUGUAAAUGUCUAAAAGAACUGAGUUUAAAACUCUAGAACUUAAAAAUACAGGUUAAUAUAUAAAAAGAAAGAGACAACCAAAAGGCCAGAUUUUAUUAAAGAAGUUUGGUAUUGAAAAAAAAAGUUUGGUAUUGAAGCUUUGUCUUCUUUUUUUCGUCUCUUUAUUGCUUUUUCUUUCUCAGCUUGGUCGUGAAGGAAAGAGACUCAAUGUAGAGUACUGUCUUUAAAGUUGGGGACUAUAUCUGAGAGAGAGAGAGAGGUUGACUUGGGUCAUGAUCUUGGUUUUUGGAGCGACUCAUCUUUAUACAAUACAUAUGGUAAUCGUGUUGGUAGAUUCUAUUUGGAGAAACCCUUAAUGUGUAGCUCUGACACAACUUGUUGUAGCUCUGAUAUCGAAAAUUCUGCUUUGCUGCUAAACUAAUCUGUGAAUUCGUUGUGCCCUUAAUGUGUUCGAUAGAAGGCCUCUUAGACAUUCUACAACUUAUCUGCUGCUCAUGUUUCUGGUUCCUGGUGUGCCUAUCAUGUAUUUGUCGGGCCGCAAGUACUCAGUGAAAAUAGAGUGUGACUAUAUCUAUGAUUUUGUGGCGGUUUCACGAAUCUGCGAGGCGUUAUCGACAAAUUGGAAUAUCAUAUAAAAAUGUAUUAGCAAGAAGGUCCUCUUGUUUUUCUCUUAUACUGUUCUAAUGGUCACUUUAAGUUUUUGUGUUGUCAACAUUUUUCAAUCUAUUUUCGAGUUUUAAGUUAAAUUUUUUUGUCAGAAUUUACAAACAAAAUAUAUUGUUUAAGCUCUAGAAUUAAAAGCCAAUUCUUUAUCAA